ACAACUUUCAGCGACGGAUAUCUCGGCUCAGGCACCUAUGAAGGGCGCAGCGAAGCGCGAUAGCCUUUGUGAAUUGCAGAUCUCCGUGAACCAAUGGCUCCCUGAACGCGCAUUGCACUCUUGGGACUUCCUGAGAGUAUGUUUGCUUCAGUGCUUAUU
rnacentral:rRNA from 1 species